CCAAUAGUUUUUUAACUAUAAACACACUUUGGUGGAGGCUUUUGAGGUCUCUCUGCCUGGAGUGGCUUGUUACAUUUCCAUUUCUCUCUCUGUUUUGCUCUAAGAUUGCUGGAGAAGUUUCUCUGAUAGCUGUUUUCAGCCAUCGUUAUGGUGAGGAAGAGGAGAACUGAGCUUCCUGCAAGUGGUGGGGGUGAGAGCUCCCAGUCUCAUGAAGCUGUUGGGGGUAGUGGUCGUGGUUCCCAGCGACCAUCUGAGAGGGGUGCUCCACCUCAGCAGGGAGCAGGUGGAGGAGCAUACCAAGGUGGUAGGGGUUGGGGGCCCCAGUCUCAGCAAGGAGGUCGUGGUGCUGGCCGAGGCCGUGGUGGGAUUCCUCAACAGCAGCAGUAUGGUGCCCCCCCUGAAUACCAAGGGAGGGGAAGAGGAGGGCCGCCUCAGCAAGGAGGUCGAGGAGGCUAUAGUGGUGGUCGCGGCAGUAGUGGCCGUGGAGGAGGUUCUCCUUCUGGUGGCCCAGCCAGACCACCAGUUCCCGAGCUGCACCAAGCAACCCCGGCUCCUUAUCAUGCUGGGGUGUCCCCUAAGCCCAUGUCAUCUGAGGGGAGCUCUUCGUUCCGACCUCCAGAGCCAUCACCAAUAGUACUGUCUCAGCAGAUACAGGACCUUUCCAUCCAGCAAGAGGGUUCUUCAAGUCAGGCAAUUCAGGCUUUGCCUCCACCCUCAAGUAAAUCAAUGAGGUUCCCCCUUAGGCCUGGGAAGGGUAGCACUGGCAUAAGGUGUAUAGUAAAGGCAAACCACUUCUUUGCUGAAUUACCGGAUAAAGAUUUGCACCAGUAUGAUGUUACCAUCACACCUGAGGUCUCAUCAAGAGGUGUGAACCGUGCUGUAAUGGAACAACUCGUUAAACUGUACAAAGAAUCUCACCUUGGAAAGCGUCUUCCUGCCUAUGAUGGCCGAAAGAGUCUGUACACUGCUGGGCCACUUCCAUUUAUAUCAAAGGAAUUUAAAAUCAUUCUCAUUGAUGAAGAUGACGGAUCAGGCGGGCCAAGGAGGGAGAGGGAGUUUAGAGUUGUAAUCAAAUUAGCUGCACGGGCUGACCUACACCAUUUAGGACUCUUUUUGCAGGGAAGGCAAGCAGAUGCACCACAAGAAGCCCUUCAAGUUCUUGACAUUGUUUUGCGUGAAUUGCCUACUACUCGGUACUGCCCGGUGGGUCGAUCAUUUUAUUCCCCUGAUUUAGGAAGAAGGCAACCCCUUGGUGAGGGUUUGGAAAGUUGGCGUGGUUUUUACCAAAGCAUUCGCCCUACACAAAUGGGACUGUCGCUUAAUAUUGAUAUGUCUUCUACUGCUUUCAUUGAGCCACUACCAGUAAUUGACUUUGUAACCCAACUAUUGAAUCGGGAUGUUUCCUCUAGACCAUUGUCUGACGCUGAUCGGGUCAAGAUAAAAAAAGCACUUAGAGGAGUCAAGGUUGAAGUUACACACCGUGGAAAUAUGCGCAGAAAGUACCGUAUAUCUGGUUUAACAUCACAGGCAACACGGGAGUUGACUUUUCCGGUUGAUGAAAGAGGAACCUUGAAGUCUGUUGUUGAGUAUUUUUAUGAGACAUAUGGAUUUGUAAUUCAACACACUCAAUGGCCCUGUUUACAAGUGGGAAAUCAGCAGAGGCCUAAUUAUUUGCCUAUGGAAGUUUGCAAGAUUGUUGAGGGUCAGAGGUACUCCAAGAGACUGAAUGAGAGGCAGAUCACUGCUUUGCUGAAGGUGACCUGUCAGCGUCCUCAUGAAAGGGAGCUUGAUAUUAUGCAGACUGUUCAUCAUAAUGCUUACCACAAUGAUCCUUAUGCAAAGGAGUUUGGAAUUAAAAUUAGUGAGAAGCUUGCUUCAGUAGAAGCUCGUAUUUUGCCACCCCCAUGGCUUAAAUAUCAUGAAACUGGUAGAGAGAGGGAUUGCCUGCCUCAAGUUGGACAAUGGAACAUGAUGAACAAGAAAAUGGUUAAUGGGGGAACAGUGAACAAUUGGAUAUGCAUAAAUUUUUCUCGGAAUGUUCAAGACAGUGUAGCCCGUGGAUUUUGCCAUGAACUUGCACAAAUGUGUUACAUAUCAGGCAUGGCUUUUAAUCCUGAGCCAGUACUUCCUCCAAUUAGCGGUCGUCCAGAGCAGGUAGAGAAGGUCUUGAAAACUCGUUACCAUGAUGCCAUGACAAAACUUCAGCCCCAGGGCAGGGAACUUGACCUGCUUAUUGUAAUUCUCCCUGAUAAUAAUGGUUCCCUUUAUGGUGAUUUGAAACGGAUUUGUGAAACAGAUCUUGGCCUUGUUUCUCAGUGUUGUUUAACAAAGCAUGUAUUCAAAAUGAGUAAGCAAUAUUUGGCCAAUGUGGCUUUGAAGAUAAAUGUGAAGGUUGGAGGAAGAAAUACUGUACUUGUUGAUGCAUUAUCAAGGCGCAUUCCUUUAGUCAGCGACCGGCCCACUAUUAUUUUUGGUGCUGAUGUUACCCAUCCUCAUCCUGGGGAAGACUCGAGCCCAUCUAUUGCAGCUGUAUUCGAUCUUUCUCCUCUCUUCUGAAUGCUGCAUAUCUUGUGUUCGCCUGAUUUGAUCUUGCUGUUUUCCAAUUUUGACCAACAAAAGGUUAUUGAAAUUGAAAUGCAGGUUGUGGCUUCUCAAGAUUGGCCAGAGAUUACAAAGUAUGCUGGUUUGGUUUGUGCUCAAGCCCAUCGACAAGAGCUUAUCCAAGAUUUGUUCAAAGAAUGGCAGGAUCCUGUAAGAGGGAAAGUCUCUGGUGGAAUGAUCAAGUAUGAUUGGCCAUCUCUGUGUCUUUGUCAUAGUUAUCAUAGAGUCAAGUGCCACUAGUGGUCUUAAAUCCAUGCUCUAUUGAUAAGGCUUGUACUUGUCUCUGCAAAUGCUUUCAGGGGGCAUGAAGGAUUUUAUAUUUUACCUUCAUUUUGUUUUACUUGCUCUGUUGGAUGCCUAUGCCUUUUGCUUUAUUGACUUCGUUUUAACUUUCGGUGAUACCAUAUAUGUUGAUUAAAUAAGCAUGAUUGCAUGAAAUUAACUUUUAUAAGGUGAAUAUAAGUGAUUUGGCUAAUUGCAAAUUGAAGUUGCAAUUCUCCCUCCUAGUGUCUGGGACACUAUCAGUUGCAAGUGGGUAGGGCUAUUCUGUUGGAAAAUAUAGAUGAAGCAACAGCUAAUUUAGUGCAUAAAGAGAAAGAAGCUUUGAUUUCCAUGCUUCAACUUUACUUUGUGAUGAUUGCUGUUUUGUCUUUUCUUCUUCUUUUUCGGAUGCACUUGCAAUACAUAUGUGGAUUAUCCUAGGUUCAAUGUAAGCCAUUAAGUGCACUAUCCUGCAUGUAAAUCACAAGGAAGGAUAGUGCACUUAAUGGUUUACAUUGAACAAGCUUCGUUAGUUUGCCUUAUGGAUUUUUGUAUAUUUUUGUAUUUUGCUAUUAACACUUGCAAAUUGAAAUAUUAUGAAUGUUCUAUACCAAUUUUGUGAAUGUGCACUGCACAUGCCUGGGCCCCAGAUACUAGAAUAGUUCUUUGCCUUAUGCCUUAGACAACUAUUGUCUCAGUUAGCUGUUUGUAGAUUUGUAGAGUAUCGUAGCUGACUGUCUUUCCAUAAUACAGGGAACUCCUUAUUUCCUUCCGCAGAGCAACUGGACAGAAGCCACAACGUAUCAUAUUUUACAGGCAUUGCCCAUUUGCUUGUUUUCUUCUUUCUUACUGUAUGUUGUGCUAUUUGUUAACGUGUCUGAUGAUUUAUUCACUUAUUCCAGAGAUGGUGUCAGUGAAGGGCAAUUCUAUCAAGUUUUGCUGUAUGAACUUGAUGCUAUUCGAAAGGCAUGUAAUUCCUUAGAACCAAAUUAUCAGCCUCCUGUAACUUUUGUUGUGGUUCAGAAGCGUCACCACACCAGGUUGUUUGCCAACGACCAUAGUGACCGUAAUGCUGUUGACAGGAGUGGGAAUAUACUGCCUGGUACUGUGGUGGACUCUAAAAUCUGUCAUCCAACAGAGUUCGACUUUUAUUUGUGUAGCCAUGCUGGGAUUCAGGGUACGAGCCGUCCUGCUCAUUACCAUGUACUAUGGGAUGAGAACAAGUUUUCUGCUGAUGGGUUGCAGUCCCUUACGAACAAUCUUUGCUACACAUAUGCGAGAUGCACACGUUCCGUUUCCAUUGUGCCACCUGCAUAUUAUGCUCAUCUUGCUGCAUUUCGAGCUCGGUUCUAUAUGGAACCAGAGACAUCAGACAGUGGAUCAAUGACUAGUGGUCCUGUAUCUGGACGUGGAGCCAUGGGUGGAGGUACAGGUGCACGGAGCACACGAGGAGCUGCUAGUGCUGCUGUGCGACCCUUACCUGCCUUGAAGGAGAAUGUCAAGCGGGUAAUGUUUUAUUGCUAGGUUAUUCUGAUGACCCAGUAGCUUAUCAUUUGGAUUGUUACUGAGGUUGUAGGUGGAGUACUUGUUGAAACUGUUUUGACUUGAAUUUGAAGCGGUUUGCUUUCCUAUGCAUAUUUAUGAAAUUGGAAUUUGCGUGCAAUCUUUAAAUUUGCUUUUUUUUGCAAUUUAUUGAGCAUAUUAUCCUGUCUGUUGCGUUUCCCCUUGGAGAUGGGCCAAAACGCUGGGUUGAAUUUAAUCGCAAGAUUGGUUAAAUUGGGAUUUAAUAUUAGGAGUCUUUGCACUAUGAAUGUAAAAUAAUUGAAUGUAAGAUAAUUGUUGCUUUUAGUCAUUUAAUGACAACUGUGCUGUCUUGGGACAGUGCCUUGUGCGUUUGUUGAAAUUGCAAAUUC
rnacentral:misc_RNA from 1 species